GGUGGUGGCGCUGUAGAGUUGGUCCUAGAGACCCCAAAGUUGGUCAGAUCACUAAUAAUGGUCAUCUCUACAAGUGUGCCAAAUUUCAUCAUUUUCCCAUGUUCCCUUCAUAGGGCUGCCAUAGACCCAAUGGGACGAAAAGAAGAAUAAUAAUAAUAAUUAAAGCUGCAAGCAGCCUUUCUGGGGCCAAGCCCUUAUUGCUCUUUGGCUUUUAAGGUUUUUUCAAGCAACUUUUUCAGCACUUUUUACAGAACAGAUAGAUUCAGAAUUACAGAUAAGGUGAAAUCAGAAGGUCUGAUGAGAACGAACGCAGAAUGAAGUUACAAAAACACACUUAUUUUUGAUCCCAUUUUAAGAAACUUUAGUACAGCUCUUAACCAUGUAAUAAAGGAAUUGAAAUGACAACUUUAUACCCAAUUUUAAAUUUUUCCCAUACAGGUUUCGAACCCACAACCUCACAGGUUCAGAACCAACGCCUUAGCUAAGUGCGCCACAUUAGUUGACACACAAUUUACAUGGCACAGAAGAGAGGUCAAGGUGUGAGAAUGAUCUCUCACAAGCCCGAAGUAGCAUUUUAGCCAGAUUAGCAUGCUACGCUAAAAAAUGCUAACAUUGUCAAAGUUAACCAGAUUGCUCAAGAGACCCAUUAGAGUGAAUAGAAAAGUGUUAGCAUUUUAGUUAAUUAGCAUGCUAAGCUAAUUAGCAUAAAUCAACAAACACAGGCACGGUCAACUUCGGAGCUGUACAUCUCUGGAACGGGAACGAAUAUCAAAAAUCCGUUCUGUCAUUUCUGUCAGGCCCGUUCUGAAGUUCAUCUGAUAAAACUUUUAACAAAAUUGAACAAGAUUUCAGGGAGGAGUAGUGAAAAAACUGUAUUUCAUUCCAUUCAAUAUGGCGGACAGACGCCAUGUUGGAAAAUGACAAUUGAGACAUCCUCAGAAUCGGCAUAACCAAAGGAAUAAAAUGACAUAAAAAUAACAAAAAUCGAUCAACAUUUACAGUAGUUAUAAGGGGUUUUGCAAGAAUCGUUAUAUCUCUUGAACACUAGGUGGCGCUGUCUUCCAACUUCCGGGGUACUUCCGGCACAUGGUGUUGAUGAUGCCUAUCGAUUUUUGUGAAGAUUUGUACAGUAGUUCAAAAGUUAGAGCAAUUUUUGACAAAUUUCAAAAUGGCGGACGGGUGGUCCAGGUGGUCUUGACAAAAUUGACAUCCACAGAUUCGAAAUGAUCUACAGAAACCAUAGACAUCAAGAUCAUAAUUUUCUGAUGAAUUGUUCAGAAGUUAUAAGCUAAAAAGUGCAUUUUUGGUAUCUCAACACCCAUAGGUGGCGCUGUUCCCAAAUUUAGCAUGGACCCCCAGAUCAUGGUGUAGAUGAAGUGUACCAAGAUUGGUAUCGAUUGAUCAAAGUUUGGCCGAGAUACAGCAUCUCUACCGAUUUGAGGUCAACCUCUGUAAGUUCACAGCAUCAUAACUUUUUUUUUCACUAGUGUUCAAAAAAUUCUGUUCAGUCUAUUCUGUGCGGCUCAGUCCAAAGAUUAUCUGUGCCAAAUUUCAGAAGAAUUGGACCAAUUUUGAAGGAGGAGUAGUGUUUAGACUGAUUACUGUACUUUUCAAAAUGGCUGCUACUGUAAUGGGCGGAGUCUUAAUGUAAGAUAUGGAAUGGAAUCUCCAUGAAGAGACAAAACAGAUGUACUAAGUUUUAUUUUCAUAGAAUUAGUGGUUCAAGAGUUAUUAACGUUUGAAUGUUGAAUUUUUGAACUGGUGGUGGCGCUGUAGAGUUGGUCCUAGAGACCCCAAAGUUGGUCAGAUCACUAAUAAUGGUCAUCUCUACAAGUGUGCCAAAUUUCAUCAUUUUCCCAUGUUCCCUUCAUAGGGCUGCCAUAGACUCCCAUUGGACGAAAAUAAUAAUAAUAAUAAUAAAACGUACAGAUACAAUAGGGGCUACAGCCCUCUGGGCUUGGCCCCUAAUUAAAGCUGCAAGCAGCCUUUCUGGGGCCAAGCCCUUAUUGCUCUUUGGCUUUUAAGGGUUUUUCAAGCAACUUUUUCAGCACUUUUUACAGAACAGAUAGAUUCAGAAUUACAGAUAAGGUGAAAUCAGAAGGUCUGAUGAGAACGAACGCAGAAUGAAGUUACAAAAACACACUUAUUUUUGAUCCCAUUUUAAGAAACUUUAGUACAGCUCUUAACCAUGUAAUAAAGGAAUUGAAAUGACAACUUUAUACCCAAUUUUAAAUUUUUCCCAUACAGGUUUCGAACCCACAACCUCACAGGUUCAGAACCAACGCCUUAGCUAAGUGCGCCACAUUAGUUGACACACAAUUUACAUGGCACAGAAGAGAGGUCAAGGUGUGAGAAUGAUCUCUCACAAGCCCGAAGUAGCAUUUUAGCCAGAUUAGCAUGCUACGCUAAAAAAUGCUAACAUUGUCAAAGUUAACCAGAUUGCUCAAGAGACCCAUUAGAGUGAAUAGAAAAGUGUUAGCAUUUUAGUUCAUUAGCAUGCUAAGCUAAUUAGCAUAAAUCAACAAACACAGGCACGGUCAACUUCGGAGCUGUACAUCUCUGGAACGGGAACGAAUAUCAAAAAUCCGUUCUGUCAUUUCUGUCAGGCCCGUUCUGAAGUUCAUCUGAUAAAACUUUUAACAAAAUUGAACAAGAUUUCAGGGAGGAGUAGUGAAAAAACUGUAUUUCAUUCCAUUCAAUAUGGCGGACAGACGCCAUGUUGGAAAAUGACAAUUGAGACAUCCUCAGAAUCGGCAUAACCAAAGGAAUAAAAUGACAUAAAAAUAACAAAAAUCGAUCAACAUUUACAGUAGUUAUAAGGGGUUUUGCAAGAAUCGUUAUAUCUCUUGAACACUAGGUGGCGCUGUCUUCCAACUUCCGGGGUACUUCCGGCACAUGGUGUUGAUGAUGCCUAUCGAUUUUUGUGAAGAUUUGUACAGUAGUUCAAAAGUUAGAGCAAUUUUUGACAAAUUUCAAAAUGGCGGACGGGUGGUCCAGGUGGUCUUGACAAAAUUGACAUCCACAGAUUCGAAAUGAUCUACAGAAACCAUAGACAUCAAGAUCAUAAUUUUCUGAUGAAUUGUUCAGAAGUUAUAAGCUAAAAAGUGCAUUUUUGGUAUCUCAACACCCAUAGGUGGCGCUGUUCCCAAAUUUAGCAUGGACCCCCAGAUCAUGGUGUAGAUGAAGUGUACCAAGAUUGGUAUCGAUUGAUCAAAGUUUGGCCGAGAUACAGCAUCUCUACCGAUUUGAGGUCAACCUCUGUGGCGCUGUUCCCAAAUUUAGCAUGGACCCCCAGAUCAUGGUGUAGAUGAAGUGUACCAAGAUUGGUAUCGAUUGAUCAAAGUUUGGCCGAGAUACAGCAUCUCAACCGAUUUGAGGUCAACCUCUGGCUACCAUAGACUCCCAUUGGACGAGAAGAAGAAGAAGAAGAAGAAUAAUAAUAAUAAUAAUAAUAAUAAAACGUACAGAUACAAUAGGGGCUACAGCCCUCUGGGCUUGGCC